UACGUAGGGUGCAAGCGUUGUCCGGAAUUAUUGGGCGUAAAGAGCUCGUAGGCGGUCCGUCACGUCGGCUGUGAAAACCUGGGGCUCAACCCCGGGCCUGCAGCCGAUACGGGCGGACUAGAAUUCGGUAGGGGAGACUGGAGUUCCUGGUGUAGCGGUGAAAUGCGCAGAUAUCAGGAGGAACACCGGUGGCGAAGGCGGGUCUCUGGGCCGAUAUUGACGCUGAGGAGCGAAAGCGUGGGGAGCGAACAGG
rnacentral:rRNA from 1 species